GAAGCUUAGGAUUAAAUGCUAAACCAGUGGCCUUCAACACCACAAACAAGGGAGAACCCUUAGCUUCU
rnacentral:tRNA from 1 species